UACAGAGGUCCCAAGCGUUGUUCGGAUUCACUGGGCGUAAAGGGUGCGCAGGUGGGUUUGCAAGUUCGAUGUGAAAGCCCCGGGCUUAACCCGGGAAUGGCAUUGGAUACUGCAGAUCUGGAGGAUCGGAGGGGGGACUGGAAUUCUUGGUGUAGCAGUGAAAUGCGUAGAUAUCAAGAGGAACACCAGUGGCGAAGGCGAGUCCCUGGACGAUACCUGACACUGAGGCACGAAAGCCAAGGGAGCAAACAGG
rnacentral:rRNA from 1 species